GAUGAAGAACGCAGCGAAAUGCGAUAACUAAUGUGAAUUGCAGAAUUCAGUGAAUCAUCGAGUCUUUGAACGCACAUUGCGCCCCCUGGCAUUCCGGGGGGCAUGCCUGUCCGAGCGUCAUUGCUGCCCUUCAAGCCCGGCUUGUGUGUUGGGUCGUCGUCCCCCCCGGGGGACGGGCCCGAAAGGCAGCGGCGGCACCGCGUCCGGUCCUCGAGCGUAUGGGGCUUUGUCACCCGCUCGAUUAGGGCCGGCCGGGCGCCAGCCGGCGUCUCCAACCUUCUAUUUUACCAGGUUGACCUCGGAUCAGGUAGGGAUACCCGCUGAACUUAAGCAUAUCAAUAAGCGGAGGA
rnacentral:misc_RNA from 1 species